GGUGCAAGUGAUGAUUUCAAGCGACCAAAGCCUGAGAGUUUGUGAUUACAGCUUUUUUUGGCGACUGAUGUACC
rfam:Callipepla squamata strain Texas jcf7180005232817, whole genome shotgun sequence.